GAAGAGUACUUUUUUUUUUUUUUUUUGAGACACAGUCUUACUCUGUCACCCAGGCUGGAGUGGUGCAGUGGCACAAUCUUGGCUCACUGCAGCCUCUGCCUCCUGGGUUCAAGUUAUUCUUAUGCCUCAGCCUCCUGAGUAGCUGGGACUACAGGCGUGCACCACCACUCCUGGCUAAUUUUUUGUAUUUUUAGUAGAGACAGGUUUUCGCCAUGUUGGCCAGGCUGGUCUCAAAUUCCCGACCUCAAAUGAUCCGCCCGUCUCAGCCUCCCAAAGUGUUGGGAUUACAGGUGUGAGCCGCCGCACCCGGCCUGGAGGAGUUCAUUUUCAUGGGGAAAGUGAUGUUUAUCAUUAUUUUGCUUCCCACUUCCUUGUCUUUUUCAGUGGGCAGAAGUCAGAGUCCCAUUAAGCCUGUACCGAGUCAGUAUUCAGACAUGCCAUCCGACACGUGGACAGAAGCUUUGCCAUCUGCCUACUUGGCUUGUCUGUUUCAAGCCCUUCACUGGUGGCCCUGGGUCCACAGAGUAAAGUCCAAACACCUUAGCCUGGCACCCAGGACCCUCUGAGGCCUGCCCUGCCCACCCUCCCAGCCUCUUUUGCCACUCCAGCUCCCUGAGCCACUGAUGUUCCACAGACCCUGCCCCUGCCAUCGUAACGUGGGUCACGUGGUGUGGGCACCUUUGUUUCCUGCCUCCAUCCUGCCUUCCCCUCCCCGCAACUCUCCCUUUGAAAUCAGGACCAUGAUUUUCUUCUCUCCAUAUGUUCAGUUUCUAGCCUGGUUCCUGGCUCACAAAGCCAUUCAAUAUUGUCAAGUUGAAACUGGGUUUAGUAGCACCUGUGGGCUAUUGGGAACAAAAGAAAGCAAGCGAGGCUGUGCUGAAAAGUGGUCAUUUGUGGUUGCUAUACGAGUGAUUAGCUCAGGAGAAUUUCUCCCCACGUGCUAUCUAAGAUUAGGGGAACAAAAGACCCUGGGUGUUCUUCCUUUAGUCAGUUGUUUGUUGAUUCAUUCCAUACGUGUCUGCUGAGUGCCACCUGUGUGCAAGUGGCAGGCAGGACAAGGGAGGACCCUCUGUGGCUGGGCCGGGUUCCUGGGGACCAGCAGGGAAUUGAUAAGAGCCAAGAGAAGCCUCGCUUUUACCCAGUGCCUAAGGAAACUGCCUCUUUUGUUUUAUUUUCUCCUAAGCGCCUGGUGACUCCCUCUGACCCAACAAGUUGCAGCACCUCUGCUGGGCUUUGCCACUGCCCCAUUUUUGCCAGAGCCUCACCCUGGUGGGGCCCCACCUCUGGGAAGCCCCAGCGCCUGCAAGAUUUUUUCCUCUCGUGACAGGGAGCAGCAUGCGGAGGGCCCUUGCACAACCUGGGUCUUCAGGAAGUUCCUUGCCCAGGUGUUGGCCCAGCUCUCUUCAUGGUUCCAAGAAGGCUGCCCCAGGAAGGCUUGUGGACAGAGGGAGAAGCAUCUCUUCCUCUAUGUCUCUUUUUAUCUAAGAAACCAGUUUGACCAGCAUCCUUCCCCUCGGCUCCCCAGGAGGAAUGCACGGAUCCCUUCGCCUUCCCCCAUCCCUCCAUGGUUGACUAAACCCACUAGGAUCCACUCUUUUGCGUGGAAAUGGGUUCAGGCCUCCCACGAAGAGCAUGAAGAUGCCCUCUGUUAUGGGUUACAUUAUGUCCCCUGCCCCCGAGACCGUAUGUUGAGUCCUAACCCUAGUAUUGCAGAACGUGAAUUUAUUAGGAGAUAGGGUCUUUAUGGAGGUCAUUAAGUUAAAUGAGGGUGUUAGGGUGGGCUGGUGUCCUGAUAUAAAGGGGAAAUUUGGGGCUGGGUGUAGUGGCUCACACAUAUAAUCCCAGUGCCUCGAGAGGCCAAGGCAGGAGGAUUGCUUGAGGGCAGGAGUUCAAGACCAGCUUGGGUAACAUAGGGAGACCGGUAUCUAUAAAAAAAAUUAAAAACAAAAAAAUUAGCCGAGUGUGGUGGUGCAUGCCUGUAGUCCCAGCUACUCAGGAGGCUGAGGUGGGAGGAUCGCUUGAGUCCAGGAAUUUGAGGCUGCAGUGAGCCAUAAAAAGAUGGGGGACGAUGGAGACGCACAGGGAAAACACCUUGUGAAUGCGGCAGAGAUAAGGGUGAUGCCUCUACACACCGAGGAACUUCAGAGACAACCAGUAAGUCACUGGGAGCUCGGGGAAGGCACAGCGCAGAUGCUCGCUGCCCUCAGAGGGAAGCCAGCCCGCCAACCCCUUGAUCUCAGACCUCUGGCCCCUGGAACUGUGAGAUGAUAGAUUUCUGUCGUUUAAGCACAGUGGUGCUGUGUUAUAGCAGCCCUAGGGAACCAUCCACUAUCAGAACAAAAGCAGGGCUGGACUGCUAGAAGAAAGGAGAGGAGAAUGGCAGAGGAUACCCACCUUGGGGCUGAAUCUGAGAUCACUCCAGGGCUCCCCAGGUUGUUUUGAAGAAUGGAGAUGGAUUUGUGCAGGGCUCACUGUAGAAGCUCAGUGCAGCAUGCGACGCUUAUAAGGCUGCAAUCCCCAGAGCUCAGUCCCUGAAGAGCGCUGCAUUCACAGACAUCAGCCAGCAGACAAACCAGUACCUAUUGUCCCUGACCCCCAGAAUCCAGCAGACAUAUAAAAGAUGGUUGUUAACCCCACUAAGUUUUGGGGUAAUUUGUUAUGCAGCCAUGCAACUGAAAGAAGCAGCUACAAUAUUUUUAUAAUGAAAUUCUUAGCCAGGACCCUCAUAGCCUAGCAAGAAGUUCUGUCUGGAAGAGCCCAGCUUUGGGGUUGGGUAUGUCUGGGUUUUAAUAUGUCAAGAGGGCAGGCCCUGGAGACGGAGCACAUGGAUUUGAAUCCCAGCCUCUCAUAGGCAGGUUAAUUAAUUUCCCUGAAUCUCAGUUUCUUCAUCUCUCAAUGGAGAAAAUAAUAGAAGCCACCUCACGGGAAUUAAAUGAGAUUAUUUACGCACAGCACCAAGGCUGUGGCUACUGUAUUUGACCCCUGAAACAGUUAAUUUUUCUUGACAUCCCUUCCUUGGUAUAUGUAUUAGUCAGGGUUCUCUAGAGGGACAGAACUAAUAGGAUAUCUCUCUCUCUAUAGAUUUAUAUAAAGGGGAGUUUAUUAAGUAUUAACUUACACAAUCACAAGGUCCUGCAAUAGGUCGUCUGCAGGCUGAGGAGCAAGGAGAGCCAGUUCAAGUCCCAAAACUGAAGAACUUGGAGUCUGAUGUUCGAGUCCAGGAAGCAUCCAGCACAGGAGAAAGAUGGAAGCUGGGAGGCCAGGCCUGACUCUCCUUUUCAUGUUUUUCUGCCUGCUUUAUAUCCGCUGGCAGCUGAUUAGGUGGUGCCCACCAGAUUAAGGGUGGAUCUGCCUUCCCCAGCCCACUGACUCAAAUGUUAAUCUCUUUUGGCAACACCCUCACAGACACACCCAGGAUCAAUACUGUCAGUUCAAUCAAGUUGACACUCAGUAUGAACCAUCGCAAUACAAUAGGAUUACUUUCUGUGAUAACCUGUGUAAAAAUAGGCAGUCAUGAUUUUCCUGUUGUGUUCUUCAGGUGUAAAACAAAAAAUUUUAAAAGAAGAAACUUCAAUUUUAAAGAUAUUAUUCAAACUAAGUUAAACAUUUUGUGUAUAAAUUAAAACAAUAAAUUUUGUUUGCAUGUAU
rnacentral:lncRNA from 1 species